rnacentral:rRNA from 1 species
AGCGGCGGACGGGUGAGUAACGCGUGGGUAACCUGCCUCAUACAGGGGGAUAACAGUUGGAAACGGCUGCUAAUACCGCAUAAGCGCACAGUACCGCAUGGUACGGUGUGAAAAACUCCGGUGGUAUGAGAUGGACCCGCGUCUGAUUAGCUAGUUGGUGGGGUAACGGCCUACCAAGGCGACGAUCAGUAGCCGACCUGAGAGGGUGACCGACCACAUUGGGACUGAGACACGGCCCAA